UCUUGACGUCCAGAGAACUUUCCAGAGAUGGAUUGGUGCCUUCGGGAACUCUGAGACAGGUGCUGCAUGGCUGUCGUCAGCUCGUGUUGUGAAAUGUUGGGUUAAGUCCCCGCAACGAGCGCAACCCCUAUCCUUUGUUGCCAGCGGUUCGGCCGGGAACUCAAAGGAGACUGCCAGUGAUAAACUGGAGGAAGGUGGGGAUGACGUCAAGUCAUCAUGGCCCUUACGAGUAGGGCUACACACGUGCUACAAUGGCGCAUACAAAGAGAAGCGAACUUGCGAGAGUAAGCGGACCUCAUAAAGUGCGUCGUAGUCCGGAUUGGAGUCUGCAACUCGACUCCAUGAAGUCGGAAUCGCUAGUAAUCGUAGAUCAGAAUGCUACGGUGAAUACGUUCCCGGGCCUUGUACACACCGCCCGUCACGCCAUGGGAGUGGGUUGCAAAAGAAGUAGGUAGCUUAACCUUCGGGAGGGCGCUUACCACUUUGUGAUUCAUGACUGGGGUGAAGUCGUAACAAGGUAGGCGUAGACGU
rnacentral:rRNA from 1 species